rnacentral:rRNA from 1 species
ACGGAAGGCAGCAGUGGGGAAUAUUGGGCAAUGGGGGCAACCCUGACCCAGCAACGCCGCGUGAAAGAAGAAGGCUUUCGGGUUGUAAACUUCUGUCCUUGGUGACGAUAAUGACGGUAGCCAAGGAGGAAGCCACGGCUAACUACGUGCCAGCAGCCGCGGUAAUACGUAGGUGGCAAGCGUUGUCCGGAAUUACUGGGUGUAAAGGGUGCGUAGGCGGCUCAUAAAGUCAGAUGUGAAAUACCGAGGCUCAACCUCGGAGCUGCAUUUGAAACUUAUGGGCUUGAGUGAAGUAGAGGUAAGCGGAAUUCCUAGUGUAGCGGUGAAAUGCGUAGAUAUUAGGAGGAACACCAGUGGCGAAGGCGGCUUACUGGGCUUUAACUGACGCUGAGGCACGAAAGCAUGGGUAGCAAACAGGAUUAGAUACCCUGGUA